ensembl:lncRNA
GUCUGUCGUGGUCAUCUCUCUAUUAUGCAUUGAAGAGGGAAAGCAAAACAAAGCCAACAGCAGCAGCUGAGUUUAACAUAUUUGUUUUUUAAGGUGAGGUCUUUGCUAUUUACUUUAGACUUCAUUAUAGUGUUAAUCACUGUCUGCAGCGUAGUGCUUAUUUCUGCAGUCUCUUUCUCCCUGCAGUUUUUUUUUAAUUUAAAGAGUAACUAGCACUGUCAUUUCUAUAGGAAAAAUAAAAUGCAAGAACAGACACCUGAGGGUCUUCUUGUGACCACUGCUAACCCCUUAACAUUAUAUUUCUAAAAUGACAGUAAAUCAAUGCCUAUUAUUAUUUUCCAAAGCACUUUGUUUGGCUGGUCUUUACCACAGUGCUGGCCUGUGUUGCUGCGUGGUUUUGUUUUAAAUCCUAGACGUAUCAUAGUUGUCGGACAUCUGGGGUUAUCCUGUUACAGAUUGCUGUCUAUAAAGCAAUCCGUGAAAGAACAGACACCACAGGUGUGCAAAUCUGAGUGUAGUGCAUAUAUGGAUUAAAAACAAAAAAUAGCAGGUUUUUUAAAAAGAAGUGCUUGUAGGUAUUUGAUGUGGCACAGUGUUUCCUCUGCCCAUAUCACUUACUGCUUUGUAUUUGUUUUUGUCUGUAGCCCAUCCAUAUCAGCUUUUCAGCCUUAAAACCCAAUCAGCUGGCAUGACAGGUCAGUUAAAACUCAGUAAGUACCUGAUGAUGUUCUAGUGUGGCUCCAUCCUCUACAUGUGGAUGUUAGGCCUUGUAUUAUUAAAUUUCACACCAAUCAGCCACAGCACAUGAACACUUGGACUACACGUCUCCCAGCAGCAGAUUUUAAGAUGAUUAGUGUCACUUCAUCUGUGAGUGGUUUCAAGGUUGUGGCUCAUUAGUGUGAUGUCAGAAGAGCUAUGCCUGAAGUGACAUUGAAAUGUGCACUGAGUUUGUCUCUCUUGUCCUGUCUGAGUUUGAAAAUUACAAACAUGGUAAGUAGUCGUGGGAUGGGCCGCCAGUGUCACCGGGGCUUCUGUCAAAGGGUCAGUUCACCCUGAUUUCGCAAGUGGUGUCUAACCUGAUUGCUCUUAGUUUUUGUGCUUGCUAGGUAAAUUCCAGCAUCUUACUAACUUUGCACAUUGACAUUAAAGAAUUUCUGUCAAAUGUUUCACACCAACGUGAUUGUUCUCCUCUGGGAACUUCCCUUCAGUCUCAAGAAUCAUCACUGUUUUUGUUCCUUGUAAUAAGUAAAAUGAUAAUAUGAAUUUCCCCUGAAGUGUUUUUGGGAAAAACACCAUGAUUUCAGGAUUAGUCUUAUAUAGCAGUAAAAUUUAGGCUAAACUUGAAUUUUUUUUUUUUCUUCACCUUGCUGUCUUAUACAUUCUCCAAAACAAUAUCACAUUUUUUCCUGAACAUAAAAUUGUAUCGAGAAUAUCUGAACCAAAAAGAAGCAAAACAGGACACCACAGGUGAGAGCUGAGUAGGAAGGUUGUUUUAAACUUGGGUGAACUAACUCUUAAAUUCUGACAUAAGAGCUAAUGUCUGUAAUACGUAAAGUGAAAGUAUUGAUACUGGUUAGGUGUUUUUUGGUUUUGUUUUGUUUUUUGUUUUUUUCCCAGCUUUUUGGGUGUUUUUUUUUUUGUUUUCUAUUUUUUGUUUUUUUGAGGGGGGGGGGGGGUUAGCAUCAGGCUCAUGUUUAGACCAAGCUAUUGGAUUUCAGAUGUGCUUAGCUAUGAGUCUGUCUAACAUGUGCUUCUUAUUCAUGUCAUAACGGUUUUCUGUAUCAGAUGCUUUAUUUCUCUCUCCAGAUAGUAAAAUAAAUAUAAGCUGUCAUAUAAAGUACAGAAAUAAUACAUGUCAAUUUAAUAAAAAUAAUUGAAA